rnacentral:rRNA from 1 species
AUUGAACGCUGGCGGCAUGCUUUACACAUGCAAGUCGAACGGCAGCGCGGGCUUCGGCCUGGCGGCGAGUGGCGAACGGGUGAGUAAUACAUCGGAACGUGCCCAGUAGUGGGGGAUAGCUCGGCGAAAGCCGGAUUAAUACCGCAUACGACCUGAGGGUGAAAGCGGGGGAUCUUCGGACCUCGCCCUAUGGGAGCGGCCGAUGGCAGAUUAGCUAGUUGGUGGGGUAAAGGCCUACCAAGGCGACGAUCUGUAGCUGGUCUGAGAGGACGACCAGCCACACUGGGACUGAGACACGGCCCAGACUCCUACGGGAGGCAGCAGUGGGGAAUUUUGGACAAUGGGCGAAAGCCUGAUCCAGCAAUGCCGCGUGUGUGAUGAAGGCCUUCGGGUUGUAAAGCACUUUUGGCGGGAACGAAAAGGACUGUGCCAAUACCACGGUUCGAUGACGGUACCCGCAGAAUAAGCACCGGCUAACUACGUG